rnacentral:rRNA from 1 species
AUUGAACGCUGGCGGCAGGCCUAACACAUGCAAGUCGAGCGGAUGAGUGGAGCUUGCUCCAUGAUUCAGCGGCGGACGGGUGAGUAAUGCCUAGGAAUCUGCCUGGUAGUGGGGGACAACGUUUCGAAAGGAACGCUAAUACCGCAUACGUCCUACGAGAGAAAGUGGGGGAUCUUCGGACCUCACGCUAUCAGAUGAGCCUAGGUCGGAUUAGCUAGUUGGUGAGGUAAAGGCUCACCAAGGCAACGAUCCGUAACUGGUCUGAGAGGAUGAUCAGUCACACUGGAACUGAGACACGGUCCAGACUCCUACGGGAGGCAGCAGUGGGGAAUAUUGGACAAUGGGCGAAAGCCUGAUCCAGCCAUGCCGCGUGUGUGAAGAAGGUCUUCGGAUUGUAAAGCACUUUAAGUUGGGAGGAAGGGCAGUAAGUUAAUACCUUGCUGUUUUGACGUUACCAACAGAAUAAGCACCGGCUAACUUCGUGCCAGCCGCCGCAGUAAAAC